AUACAGAGGGUGCGAGCGUUAAUCGGAAUUACUGGGCGUAAAGCGCGCGUAGGCGGCUUGGUCGGUCGGAUGUGAAAGCCCCGGGCUCAACCUGGGAAUGGCAUUCGAUACUGCCAGGCUAGAGUAUGGGAGAGGGAAGUGGAAUUUCCGGUGUAGCGGUGAAAUGCGUAGAUAUCGGAAGGAACACCAGUGGCGAAGGCGACUUCCUGGCCCAAUACUGACGCUGAGGUGCGAAAGCGUGGGGAGCGAACAGGAUUAGAUACCCUAGUAGUCC
rnacentral:rRNA from 1 species